GCCUGAUGCAGCGACGCCGCGUGAGGGAUGACGGCCUUCGGGUUGUAAACCUCUUUCAAUAGGGACGAAGCGCAAGUGACGGUACCUAUAGAAGAAGGACCGGCCAACUACGUGCCAGCAGCCGCGGUAAUACGUAGGGUCCGAGCGUUGUCCGGAAUUACUGGGCGUAAAGAGCUCGUAGGUGGUUUGUCGCGUUGUUCGUGAAAACUCACAGCUCAACUGUGGGCGUGCGGGCGAUACGGGCAGACUAGAGUACUGCAGGGGAGACUGGAAUUCCUGGUGUAGCGGUGGAAUGCGCAGAUAUCAGGAGGAACACCGGUGGCGAAGGCGGGUCUCUGGGCAGUAACUGACGCUGAGGAGCGAAAGCGUGGGGAGCGAACAGGAUUAGAUACCCUGGUAGUCCACGCCGUAAACGGUGGGUACUAGGUGUGGGUUUCCUUCCUUGGGAUCCGUGCCGUAGCUAACGCAUUAAGUACCCCGCCUGGGGAGUACGGCCGCAAGGCUAAAACUCAAAGAAAUUGACGGGGGCCCGCACAAGCGGCGGAGCAUGUGGAUUAAUUCGAUGCAACGCGAAGAACCUUACCUGGGUUUGACAUGCACAGGACGCCGGCAGAGAUGUCGGUUCCCUUGUGGCC
rnacentral:rRNA from 1 species